UCCCCAGUGGCUCAGUCGGUUAGCGCGCCGUACUUAUAAUGCGGAGGUCGAGAGUUCGAUCCUCUCCUGGGGAA